rnacentral:rRNA from 1 species
CCAUGCCGCGUGUGUGAAGAAGGCCUUCGGGUUGUAAAGCACUUUCAGUAGGGAGGAAGGUAGUGUAGUUAACACCUGCAUUAUUUGACGUUACCUACAGAAGAAGCACCGGCUAACUCCGUGCCAGCAGCCGCGGUAAUACGGAGGGUGCGAGCGUUAAUCGGAAUUACUGGGCGUAAAGCGCAUGCAGGCGGCCUGUUAAGUCAGAUGUGAAAGCCCGGGGCUUAACCUCGGAAUUGCAUUUGAAACUGGCAGGCUAGAGUCUUGUAGAGGGGGGUAGGAAUUUCAGGUGUAGCGGUGAAAUGCGUAGAGAUCUGAAGGAAUACCAGUGGCGAAGGCGGCCCCCUGGACAAAGACUGACGCUCAGAUGCGAAAGCGUGGGGAGCAAACAGGAUUAGAUACCCCUGGUAG